CUCUGAGACAGGUGCUGCAUGGCUGUCGUCAGCUCGUGUUGUGAAAUGUUGGGUUAAGUCCCGCAACGAGCGCAACCCUUAUCCUUUGUUGCCAGCGGUUAGGCCGGGAACUCAAAGGAGACUGCCAGUGAUAAACUGGAGGAAGGUGGGGAUGACGUCAAGUCAUCAUGGCCCUUACGAGUAGGGCUACACACGUGCUA
rnacentral:rRNA from 2 species